rnacentral:rRNA from 1 species
CGUCAGACUUCCAAGAAAAGCUCGCAAUGUCAUAAAUAAAAAUGCCUGUACCAUAACCGACACAGGUGGGUAGGUAGAGUAUACUAAGGGGCGCGAGAUAACUCUCUCUAAGGAACUCGGCAAAAUGACUCCGUAACUUCGGGAGAAGGAGUGCCUUAUUUAUAAGGUUGCAAUAACAAGAUCCAAGCAACUGUUUAUCAAAAACACAGGUCUCCGCUAAGUCGUAGGACGAUGUAUGGGGGCUGACGCCUGCCCAGUGCCAGAAGGUUAAAGAAGUUGGUUAGUGUAUGCGAAGCUGAUGACUGAAGCCCUGGUGAACGGCGGCCGUAACAAUAACGGUCCUAAGGUAGCGAAAUUCCUUGUCGGGUAAGUUCCGACCCGCACGAAAGGCGUAAUGAUUUGGAUACUGUCUCGGAGAGAGGCUCGGUGAAAUAGACUUGUCUGUGAAGAUGCGGACUACCUGCACCAGGACAGAAAGACCCUAUGAAGCUUUACUGUAACUUGAAAUUGGAAUUGGACUUUGCUUGCGCAGUAUAGGUGGGAAGCGUUGAAGAUAUUCUUGCGGGAGUAUUGGAGCUAUCAGUGAGAUACCACUCUUGUAAUGUUAGAUUUCUAACUUUGAACCAUAAUCUGGUCAAAGAACAGUUUCAGGUGGGCAGUUUGACUGGGGCGGUCGCCUCCCAAAUGGUAACGGAGGCGUACAAAGGUUUCCUCUGAACGGAUAGAAAUCGUAUCUAGAGUGUAAAGGCAUAAGGAAGCUUGACUGUGAGACCUACAAGUCGAGCAGGGACGAAAGUCGGUCUUAGUGAUCUGACGGUACUGAGUGGAAAGGCCGUCACUCAACGGAUAAAAGUUACUCUAAGGAUAACAGGCUGAUCUCCCCCAAGAGUUCACAUCGACGGGGAGGUUUGGCACCUCGAUGUCGGCUCAUCGCAUCCUGGGGCGGUAGUACGUCCCAAGGGUUGGGCUGUUCGCCCAUGAAAGCGGUACGCGAGCUGGGUUCAGAACGUCGUGAGACAGUUCGGUCCAUAUCCGGUGUAGGCGUUAGAAUAUUGAGAGGAGCCUUCUUUAGUACGAGAGGACCGAGAAGGACACACCGCUGGUGUACCAGUUAUCGUGCCAACGGUAAACGCUGGGUAGCUAUGUGUGGAGUGGAUAACCGCUGAAAGCAUCUAAGUGGGAAGCCCACCUCAAGAUGAGUAUUCUCC